rnacentral:rRNA from 1 species
ACACGGACCAAGGAGUGCAACAUGCGUGCGAGUCUUGGGGUGGCAAACCCAUCGGCGCAAUGAAGGUGAAGGCAGAUUUUGGUCUGCUCAGGCAGGAGCCCCCAUCCUUGGGGGCACACUGUCGACCGAUCCCAGGCUACGCUGUGGCGGGAUUUGAGUAAGAGCGUGCCUGUUGCGACCCGAAAGAUGGUGAACUAUGCCUGAAUAGGGUGAAGCCAGAGGAAACUCUGGUGGAAGCUCGUAGCGAUUCUGACGUGCAAAUCGAUCGUCAAAUUUGGGUAUAGGGGCGAAAGACUAAUCGAACCAUCUAGUAGCUGGUUCCCUCCGAAGUUUCCCUUAGGAUAGCUGGAGCCCGGUGCAGUUUUAUCAGGUAAAGCGAAUGAUUAGAGGUCUUGGGGUUGAAACAACCUCAACCUAUUCUCAAACUUUAAAUGGGUAAGAAGCUUGGCUUGCUCAACUGAAGUCAGGCACUGAAUGCCGGGGCUCUUAGUGGGCCAUUUUUGGUAAGCAGAACUGGCGAUGUGGGAUGAACCAAAUGCCGGGUUAAGGUGCCCGAAUCGACGCUCAUCAGAUACCAUGAAAGGUGUUGGUUGAUCUAGACAGCAGGACGGUGGCCAUGGAAGUCGAAUCCGCUAAGGAGUGUGUAACAACU